AACUCCUUGCAAUUUACAGCACCUUAAAAUUGAGUCGUGUGAGAAAAAAUACGAGGAUCUGAAAAAUACUCUACAAAGUGUUGUUGAAGAGCAAGUUGAAAAAGCCAUCACUGAGUACAGAGAGCGCGAGGAGCGUAAGUUGAACAUUAUUAUACACAAUGUGCCAGAACCGAGAGCGGAAAGCACCGAUAAGAAGGGGGACGAUGAAAUUUCUCUGAAAGAAAUACUUCUUACAACCAAAUGUGUUGGUCUGAAAAAUUUUGAUUUUGUACGCUUGGGAAGGCCAUCGGACGGAAGGGAUCGACUGAACAAGGUAACUCUUGGGAGUGUUUCAGACAAACACAGAGUUCUAGGGGGGACAAGGUAUCUGAGGGCGAAGAUAGGGCAAGUUUAUGCUCACAGAUGGAGCAAGAUUUUCAUAACCCCUGAUCAGACUAAAGAAGAGAGAAUAAAGAAUAUGAAUCUCAAAAGGGAACUGGAGAAGCGAAAGUUGGAAGAGAAAAAUCAUGAUUUAAUUAUUUUUAGAGGGGAAAUAGUGGAAAGAAGAUCAGAUAGUCUUGUGAAUAGCACAAUGGCGACACCGGGCAUUUCAGAGCCGGGUCGGCCAUUUCGUCUAUGAUAAAUUUAAAGAAACUGUAAAUAGAGUUAGUGUUCCAGUUUCAAGUGUUCACCACAGUUCUUUCGUUGACAGUUUUUCAAGUUGUGUUAAUCACAGUUCUUUCGUUGAAAGUUUUUCAAGUUGUGUUAAUGACUCUUUGUCUGAAAACAAUGAGAUUUUAAACAGUAAUCAGAGCAAUGAUUUGCAGUAUAGGCAUAAACAGUGUCAAGCAAUUAACUCUAGUCUAAUCAUGUGUGAUUUUAAAUCAAUAAGUGAUCAGGAACCCUGUGAUAAUUACCGAAGUAUUGAUUCCACUAUUGUCGCGAAAACAGUUUUAACAGAAUCAAUUGCAGAAAGAUGUAAGUGCAUGUAUACUAAUGCAGAUCAGCUCCAAAACAAACUUGAUGAAUUGCGUUUGCAGUUGUCUAUUGUGUCACCAGACUUUGUAUUUGUUACAGAAGUGUUACCCAAGUAUAAUUUCGACAAUAUAUCAUGUUCUUCCACAUUGUAUCAUAUUGAUGGUUACUCAGCUUUUCCUGGAACUGACCUUGGUAGAGGUGUCAUUAUUUAUGCGAAAACAGAAUUGAAUGUUUCACCAAAUACCACUCUUAAUUCCUUUUAUGGUGAUGCUUCGUGGAUUGACUGGAUUAGUGAUAGCAAAACAAUAACAUUAGGGUGUAUAUAUCGGAGCCCCUCCAACACUAGAAACUGUGAUGAAAUUAACCAUUUAUUAAACAUGGCAGUUGGACUCGCCGAGAAUUUAUUAAUUACGGGAGACUUUAAUAUGAAGGACAUUGAUUGGGACACGUACACCACCACACAUGAAGAGGAUCAUCAUGAAAGCUUAUUUAUUGAGUGCUUAAGAGAUAACUUUUUGUUUCAACAUGUAAACCAAUUCACAAGAUGUAGAAAUGAUCAGAGCAAGAACAUACUUGACCUAAUUUUAUCUAAAGAUGAGAAUGACAUAGUGAACUUAGAAUAUCUACCAUCCCUGGGAUGCAGUGAUCAUGUAAAACUACUAUUUGACUUUUUAUGUGAUUUCAAAAUAAUAUGUACUGGAGCUAGUUCCUAUCAAUACAGGAAAUGUGAUUUAAUACGCUUUACGGAAGAGUGGGAAACAACAAACUGGCAGGAAUAUUUCCAACACAGCGAUGCUAACAGCAUGUGGGAGUCUUUUGUUUGCAAAUUCAGAGCUAGUGUGGAAAAGUUUGUUCCAAAGUUUAAACCAAAAUCAGGACACAUGAAGAAACCGUUGUGGAUGACACAGGAUUCAUUGAGAUUUAUUAAGGGGAAGCGUCAUGCCUGGAAUAAAUAUAUGGCUACUAAAAGGACGGCAGACUUUGGAACAUAUAAAGUGGUGAGAAAUGCGGCCAAUGAAUGUGUGAAGAAGAGUAAGAAAAACUAUGAACGGACUAUUUCGCUUAAAGCUAAAAGUGAACCGAAGCAAUUUUGGCGGUAUGUAAAAAGUUAAGUUAAGUCAAAAAUUGGCGUUUCUAAUUUGAAACGGGACGAUGGGGGGUUUGUUGGAUCGGACAAUGAAAAGGCGGAUGUUCUUAAUGGGUUUUUUGCCUCUGUGUUUACAAAAGAAACUUUACAUAAUAUACCUGAUUUACCAGAUAAAACUGUGGAAAAUAAUUUAAAUGACAUACAUGUUUCUGAAGUGGAAGUCUUAAAUUUGCUAAAGGAUAUUGAUUCGUCUAAGUCCAUGGGUCCGGAUGAAAUACAUCCAUAUUUGCUUAAAAGUAUGCCUGACGUUUUUGUCAAACCGCUUUCAUUUAUUUUCAAGAAGUCUCUGUCAUCCGGAGAAGUUCCAAAAGGGUGGAAAGAUGCAAGAAUAUCGCCAAUUUUCAAGAAGGGUAACAAAACUGAGCCAUGUAACUACAGACCAGUUAGUCUCACAUCAGUAGUCUGCAAGAUUCUUGAAAAAAUAGUUAGAAAACAUAUCAUGUAUCAUUUAAGUGUGAAUAAUUUAUUAUCAAAUGAUCAAUACGGCUUUAGACCACAUAGAUCCUGUCGUUACAGUUGCUACAUGUUAUGGAGGACUGGACAAAGUUCAUCGAAGGAAGCGAAAGCUGGGACAGCAUUUACUCAGACCUUGCGAAAGCUUUUGAUAAAGUUGCGCAUAGAAGACUCAUAAGGAAGGUAUCUGCGUAUGGCAUUAAGGGAAAUGUUCUGGCCUGGAUUGAGAACUUUCUGAGUCAGAGAAGACAGUGUGUGUCAAUAAAGGGAAGUACAUCUAGCUGGAUAAGUGUAGAGAGUGGAGUUCCUCAGGGAAGUGUGCUUGGUCCAGUACUUUUUAUAAUAUAUGUUAACGAUAUCACCGACUCUGUGAGCUGUAUUUCUAAAAUAUUUGCUGACGACACCAAGUUAUAUGCACCUGUGACGGACUCAGGCAGGAUGCAGGAGGAUCUUGACUCUCUCAGCGAAUGGGCACAAAAAUGGGAACUUGCCUUCAACGUUGACAAAUGCAAAGUUAUACAUUACGGAAACAAUAACCCCAAUCAACAGUAUACUAUGAAUAAUAAGCCUCUGCAGGCUGCAACUGAGGAAUGUGAUCUGGGAGUGCUCUUCGAAAGAGAUCUAAAAUUUAGUAAGCAUAUAUCUACAAAGAUAAAUAAAGCAAACAGUAUCCUAGCCUUAAUAAAGAGAUCUUUUGAGUUCAUGGACAAAUACUUAUUUUUGAAAUUAUAUACUGCCUUGGUGCGUCCGCAUGUUCAGUUUGCAAAUGUUAUAUGGUACCCAUAUUUAAAAAAGGACAUUAUUAGCAAAUAAAAAGUUCAAAAAAGAGCCACAAAACUUGUACCGAAUUUGAGGAAUUCAUCCUAUGAGGAACGACUUAAAGAACUAAACUUACCAUCACUUGCUCAUCGCAGAAUUCGUGGGGAUGCCAUUCAAACAUUUAAAAUAGUCAAAAAUAUAGAUGAUUGCGUUUUUGAGAACUUUUUCAAUUAUACAUCAUCAACUAGAGGACAUAACCUUAAGCUUGAGAAACCAAAGUCCAGAACAUCUUUUUGUCAAAAUCAAUUUUCCAGAAGAGUGAUUAACAUGUGGAAUGACUUGCCUCAAUGUGUAGUUGAUGCCAAGAAUGUAUUAGAAUUCAAGAGCAGGAUUGAUCUACAUUGGAAUGGGGACAUAGUGUAUAAGUUUUAGUGAUCACAACUGUUGUUUGUCAAAAGGACAUUCAUUCUUUACCAUACUUAAGGAACUAUUUUUUACUGAAUAAGGGCUAUUUUUAUUAGUUGUGAGAACACAUACGGAUACAGUACCAUAAGACGUCGAUAAGAAGAGGGGUUUAAAAAGGACUUUAGUCCUUACCACAGAGCCCAAAAUCAUCCUACAGGUAUCCUACAGUGUUGCAAUUCUAAGAUACCUAUCACAAAAAUACAAGCUACCGGAACAUUGGUAUCCACAUUCAGACCUUCAAAAACAGGCCAGAAUAGACGAGUAUCUGCACUGGCAGCAUCUCAACACCCGUUUGCAGGCUGCCAUGGUCUUCCAAC